GAUGAACGCUGGCGGCGUGCCUAAUACAUGCAAGUCGAGCGAACGGACGAGAAGCUUGCUUCUCUGAUGUUAGCGGCGGACGGGUGAGUAACACGUGGACAACCUACCUAUAAGACUGGGAUAACUUCGGGAAACCGGAGCUAAUACCGGAUAAUAUUUUGAACCGCAUGGUUCAAAAGUGAAAGACGGUCUUGCUGUCACUUAUAGAUGGAUCCGCGCUGCAUUAGCUAGUUGGUAAGGUAACGGCUUACCAAGGCAACGAUGCAUAGCCGACCUGAGAGGGUGAUCGGCCACACUGGAACUGAGACACGGUCCAGACUCCUACGGGAGGCAGCAGUAGGGAAUCUUCCGCAAUGGGCGAAAGCCUGACGGAGCAACGCCGCGUGAGUGAUGAAGGUCUUCGGAUCGUAAAACUCUGUUAUUAGGGAAGAACAUAUGUGUAAGUAACUGUGCACAUCUUGACGGUACCUAAUCAGAAAGCCACGGCUAACUACGUGCCAGCAGCUGCGGUAAUACGUAGGUGGCAAGCGUUAUCCGGAAUUAUUGGGGCGUAAAGCGCGCGUAGGCGGUUUUUUAAGUCUGAUGUGAAAGCCCACGGCUCAACCGUGGAGGGUCAUUGGAAACUGGAAAACUUGAGUGCAGAAGAGGAAAGUGGAAUUCCCUGUGUAGCGGUGAAAUGCGCAGAGAUAUGGAGGAACACCAGUGGCGAAGGCGACUUUCUGGUCUGUAACUGACGCUGAUGUGCGAAAGCGUGGGGAUCAAACAGGAUUAGAUACCCUGGUAGUCCACGCCGUAAACGAUGAGUGCUAAGUGUUAGGGGGUUUCCGCCCCUUAGUGCUGCAGCUAACGCAUUAAGCACUCCGCCUGGGGAGUACGACCGCAAGGUUGAAACUCAAAGGAAUUGACGGGGACCCGCACAAGCGGUGGAGCAUGUGGUUUAAUUCGAAGCAACGCGAAGAACCUUACCAAAUCUUGACAUCCUUUGACAACUCUAGAGAUAGAGCCUUCCCCUUCGGGGGACAAAGUGACAGGUGGUGCAUGGUUGUCGUCAGCUCGUGUCGUGAGAUGUUGGGUUAAGUCCCGCAACGAGCGCAACCCUUAAGCUUAGUUGCCAUCAUUAAGUUGGGCACUCUAAGUUGACUGCCGGUGACAAACCGGAGGAAGGUGGGGAUGACGUCAAAUCAUCAUGCCCCUUAUGAUUUGGGCUACACACGUGCUACAAUGGACAAUACAAAGGGCAGCGAAACCGCGAGGUCAAGCAAAUCCCAUAAAGUUGUUCUCAGUUCGGAUUGUAGUCUGCAACUCGACUACAUGAAGCUGGAAUCGCUAGUAAUCGUAGAUCAGCAUGCUACGGUGAAUACGUUCCCGGGUCU
rnacentral:rRNA from 1 species